AAAUUGUAAAAAAUACAUUUCUAUCGACAACAAUGUUCAGCAGCUGCCAUGUGAUCACCUCUGACACAGACAGGCCCAUCCUCAGCAGCUCUUCAGCCAGCUC